AAUCUAUGGGUAGUAGGGCAAAGAUAACAAGAAGUUCUUUUAAACAGGAACAAAAUGCCUGCAGUUUUGUAAAACUAUGGAUGGUAAAAUUGUUAAGACUGGUAAAGAAAAUGCAGAAUUAAGUAAACACAUCCAUUUUCUAAAAGAAGAAUGAAAGAUUUUAUUUUCUCUCACUUCUGACAAAGAGUGUUAAACAGAAACACUAAAUAUUUUCAAAUCAACAGAAUUAGAUAAUUCAUUGUCUGUGGAGCUGCCUAAAUUAAUUUUUUUGAAAUCUCUGUAUCCUGAGGAACUUCCAUACGCUUGAAAAAAUAGCCAUGGCGAACAUUAACGAAUAGUGGCUUAAAUGGCCUUGAAAACAAUUUGCUAGUUAGCCUGAACCUUACCUAGGAAAAAUUUCUUGGAUGAAUUGAACUAAGAUUAAAAUUACAACUGCCAGUCAAUGCAACGUUAUGGAAAAUAUUUUUACUUGUAAUGAUUUGGUGUCUUGAUGAGUCUGUACAACAUUUUCAUGAAGCAAUUAUCCCAAUGAAACAUACCUAGAUGUUUUAUAUUUUCAGAGGCAUUGCGUGCAGCUGGCAGAUGUGACAAGGCAUCCAUGGGUGCCGCCAGGUGUGAUGCCUGAGGUAUCUGAAGUCACACAGAGCUCUGGAGCCUAGACAGCUGGAUUGUCCCCUGGUGACCACUGAGUGGGAUUCAUCUGCAUCGCUAAAGCUACCCAAGAAUUAAGAUUCCUUUUAAAGUCAGCAGAGGAAAUACUCUCCUUGCCAUGUGCUUCAGCAGACCCAGGUGAAAUACCCUUUGCAGUGCGAGGUGAAACGUCGCUGUAGAACGCGGGGUGUCAGCUCCCUCUGUCAGCCGUGGGGAAAGAGAGUGAAACUGGAAUCAGAUGGCAGCAACUCCAAGCAGUGCAAAAAGGGUAUUGACAACCUGGAAGGAGUUUGGGGAAGAUUUAUUGAAGCAUUUCAGGGUUUGGAAAAGGUAUUUUGUAGUGUGAAACUAAAGAAGUGCAAUCAAUUUUGUUUGUCCAGAAAGGUCAAGAGGUGGCUACCUAUGAUUACAUCUGAAGAAGUAUUUGAUCAUAGAAGUCUCUUUUAUCUUCCAAAAAACCCCCACAACCGAACAACAACUGCCUCCCCCCUGAAACAAACAAACAAACAAACAAACAAACAAAAAUAAACAACGAAAACCCCACAGCACAAAAUCCAACAGCUGCAAGCUUAAAUUAGCACAAGUGCACAGGUUUGUGGAGCAAGCAGCUGUUCAUUUGUUUUGUCAGUAAUGGAAAGAAGACGAACAGCUGAUGACAGGUUGGUGGAUAGGUAAAUGAUUGUUACGUGAACCUGUUUCUCAUUGAUGAAUGUGUCUAGAAGAAUAAAGGAAGAAAGGACAAGAUGAAUGGAUAUUAAAGGCUCCUUUCAAAUAACUCAAGGAUUAUUCAGGUAAAAUAAUAAUUAUCUCCCAAGAAUUUGAAUAAAAAUAAUCUGUGCUGACUGUCACUGCUUUUUCAUAAUGCUGGAUAACAGGGUAAGUUCAAAUGAACACUUUAAGUUUCUUUCUGUCUUGGUAGUUUGCAGCUAAGUUCACAUUUCUCUGAUUUUCACCUCCCAUGGCUCAAGAAUUCUGACAUUUCUCCCUGCUUCCUGUUUUACCCUCCCCACCCCCAACUUAUCCAUGUACUUCUAAUGCUGAAAUUAAUAUUAUAGGAAUACAAAUUGAACAACAACAAGACUGUUCAAGAACAUUUGGUAUUUGGAUGAAAAGCACAUUUCGCAUAUUCCCAUUGUUGCUGAAAGAACAUGAAGAAUUUCUGCUGAAUCAGUAGCAGUUGGAGCAGACUCAAGUGUGGUUUUAGCAAAAAGGUGAGUGAGAAGUGCCCUGGUGACUCUUCCUCACAGCUUGCACUAUCCAGGAGCCCCCUCUUGUAAAAAGUGGUGCAGUGUCAUGGAUAGGGGAGAAUAUUUCACAACAGCGCUGUUUUUGAAGUUCUGUAUAUGUAUGUGCAUCAUUAUCUGUGAGUGAACUUGGAAAAUCCAAACCCCACAAAUUUCUCUCAGUCUGUUUCAGAUCCUUUGCAGUUUUGGGGGUGUUUGUACCAAAGUAGUGUGAUGUCUGUUAGCAGUGAAAUAUCUGUGUGCUAAGAAUUAGAAUGAGAAUCCAAAUUCCACACUGGUAUUGUUUGAUUCAGCUCUCAUACUGUGUCCUAGGCUGGCGUCAUAUGGCAGUUUGUUCUUAUGGAAAUUACCUCAGACUGGUGGUAAUGUUAAAUGUCUGCUCAUCUGUUCAACUUAUGUGGGAAUUUCUUUGUUCCCAAAACCAAGAAUGUGCUGAGGAAGAAGAGCAAACCAAGUCUGCUUAACACCUCUCACUAACACUGAAUAUGGUGCUGUGUGGGUGACAGUCAGUGUAAGCCGUUUGAAAAGAGGAGCUUGAAAUAAGAUUUUAAUAAAUUCAGCUAUCAUUUUUAUUUGUUUUAUGAAUUUUUGCCCAUCUGCAAUAAGUAGAAUAUGAUCUGAGAAUUAUGCAAUAUAUAAUUUACACCAAUAUUGUAGCAGUGGAAGAUGGACCUUGCCCAAAGUUGUGCAAGAGAGCUGUGAAAUGUGGCACUUGGAUCUCUCAAAGAAAUGUUUUUUGUCUCUGAAUAUGGAUUCUGAAAAUCAAUUAUAUGUAGAUUGGCUGUGAGAUAGAGAGAGACAAGCUGUUCUGUUGAUUUAGGCAUGACCUGUGUGGUGAUGCUUCAUCUCCCACUGAACUAAAUACUCUUUCAAAUGACAUAUUAAUGGGAGGACAUCCAAAAUACUUGCUAGGCAAAUGAAUGUGUAACAGCCAGAUGGUUUAUUUGGUUUUUCAGUAAUCCUCAGAGGAUCAGAAAGGGGAUUCAUUUUGUAAGUUAUAGCAUGAAGUUACCUGUGUUAAAGCGUCUUGAAAUACAGUAAGUUAUAAUUGCAGAUCUGUUCUGUUCUUUUCUUAUUUUGCCACAUUUGUAAAGCACUGUGUAAAAUGUCAGCCAACUUUACAUGGUGUGGUAAGAGCACAGGUGGAGAGUGUUUAAGAAAUAGGGUUGUAAAAGAGAUGUUGAAGCAAAUUACCCAAUAAUCCUUUCUGCUAUUCUUAGGACUAUUCAAAUCUUUAAUCCAACAUCCAAUUCCUUCUAUUCAAAAUUUAGCAUAAAGAACAGAAAACACAUCUCAAAAGGUGGAAAAAAAACUUAUCUCAUGAGCCUGCCUACAUAAUUCUAUUUAAUACAUGCAAUGUAUUUUGGGCUAUCUUCUCUUUCCUUGAACAUAUUGUGUUGAGACAGAAACUUCUAAUACAAUACUCUACAGCUUUUAACUCUGUACAUGUCUGGUCAAAUGUCCUCAGCAUAUGCUCCCUCUCUGCAGCUGGGAGAGUGAGCCACAGGUGCUACACUUAAAUAAAGGCUGGCUUUUCUCCAUCUGGUUCCCUAAUAUACAGAUUGGGAUUUUUUCCCUCUAUGAGCAGGAAUGGGUCCCUUUGAUGCUACCUUAUGUUCUGCAUGGAGGAAAAAAGGAAAUUGAGUUGCACCAAAUGCUGUAUUUGGUCUCAAACACAUUUCUGCUGUGGAAAAUGGAGCUGUUUCUGAAGCACUGCAGAUUUUUGCCUCAGAAAUGUCACUGUUGUAGACCAACGGUGCUGCUGCUGUGGGUCCCCCUGGCAGCAAUAGUGGGCCAAAAUGAUUUCAGUCUAUGGUACAGUUAGGAAAUCAGCAAAACACUUGAAAACCAAAUGUGUCACUUGAGCAAAAUGAUGAAGUCUAAAUUCUCUACAAUUCAGGGAAAGCUCUCCAAGGCUGCUUGUCAUUAGUUUUGUCUCAGCUGCUACAAAUGCUUUUGGAAAACCUUCCCUCAGACACCCACUCUAACACUGGGAACUCCUUCCCAUUCUAACACUGGGAAGGCACAACAGGAACACCUAUUUGCUAUGCUUGUUGCUUAGGAGAUCUCUUUCCUGAGUGAUUCAUAAAACAACCAUUCAUACACCUGAGGUCUCUCUAGAGCCCAGUUUGUUGAGUGAAUUUGGCUGUUUUUUAUUGAAUUUUACUAAAAAUUGUGCAGUGAUGCAAGGACAUGACAGCAAGGGUACACUGAAUUCAUUCAUUUUUCACAAUUGCAGAAAACUGGAUAAUCUAUGGAUGAGGCAGGUCAUAGGAUUUUCCUCCUACUGCUUUGUAAGUCCUUGACUGUGCAAUAUAAGUCUUGGCUUCUUUCCUUUUGGUUUCAUGUACAUGAUUUAGCCUUUAGAGGUAGACCCCUUGCCAGAUAUCUGGAUAUUCUUGGAACAUAGGAACAUCAGCUUUCUUUCCCACAAUCUGUGGAUAGCCUAAUCCUUAGCUACUGUAAUUGAUGGCCACAUCCUUUUAUGGCUAAAUAGGCAGAGGAAGAGGUAGCAGUCUGUGCUCAGAAAUGCACUCAGGUUCUGCUUUUCAUCUGAGUCUCACAGAAACUCCAGCUCUGACAUACCUCAACAGAACCACAGAAUAGGUCACGUUGGAAGGAAACAGUGCAGGUCAUCUGCCUGUUUGGGCAGGGUUGUGCCAGACCACAGGGAACAAGACUGUGUCCAUACAGUUCUGAAAUUUCUCCAGUGAGGGAGACUCCACUCCCUCUCUGGACAAUCUGUUCUGGUCACAGUCACCCAUACAGUGAAGCGUUCUUCCUCACGUUCAGCUGGAACUUCCUGUGCCUCAGUUUCUGCGCGUCCUUGCUGUCAGACCCUGUGGGUUGGCUCUGAUAUCCAUGAGUGUGAUAACUCUCCCAGUGGUGAACCACAUCCAGAGGGGUUAACUGUCCUUCUUGGUGUCCACAGAGGUUUUUGGAGGUUUCAGCUGACACCAGCGCUUCUUUACGUGUCUCAGGGCACCUGGCUUUAAGCUAAGUAUGUGCUGCAGACCCUCUGUUAAAUGCGUGCCAAGUGGCAAGAGACCAUCCAUCAUUAAUUAUGCCUUAUGACACACUACCCUCAUUUUCUGUGCAGUCACUUCUGGUGCUCAAAUCUGUAACCAAUGUUAGCCAGAACGACAACUGCAUGUGGAAGCAUCUUUGAGAACCAGGGCACAAAAGCACCUACCAAUCCCUGAAUGUCGAAAGUAGUCUUUAUACCAUUUGUCACCUACCAUUCUCUCACUUUCACUGUGAGCGAUGUCUCUACAUGAAAUGUGAGCCACAGCUAUAAGCCAGAUGUCAGUAAAAAAGUGGAUUAUCCCUGCUUCAGCGUCCCUUAUUGUGAUUCAAUUUUCGUACAUGAUGGACACUGCUGCUCAACAAGCAGCACUAUCCCUGGUCAGCAUUUGAUUUAAAAAAACAAUUUGACGCCAUAAGCUGGAAAGGUGCUUGGUCAAAAAAUUGAUCAGUGGGUAGAUGAAACUAGUAAUAUAAACAUGCUGGAAGCUGGGAGUAACACCAGGAAAGCAGAUGUAUAUUUGAUGUCAAUGAUCUUGAUUUGCAUGGGUACAUAAAGAAAGCUGUUUCUGAAAUAGAGAUUAAAGGUGCUGAGAGAAAAGAGAUUAAAGGUUCUGAGAGAAAUAAAAUGCAUUUUAAAAAGAAAAA